UCGCAGCCCGCACGUCAUGAGGCCGCCAGUCACGUGACCCGGCGUCGCCCAGCGCUGGGUUCCGUUGGGUUCGGAACCAAUUUCUCAGCUCGGGAGUUUACCCGGGGGACUGAAGAAUUCGCCCGUCGCCAGGCCCUGCUAACAGGUCCUGAGUCCUCGGAGCCAAUGGGAGCUCAGGGCCGGAGGAGGGAGACAGGCGCGGAGAGGCCAUUGGUUGGCGCUGUCCGGGAGCGUGGCCAAUAAGAGCGAGAACAGAGGAACCCAGCGGCCAAUGGGCGGCGCCUCCGGGGGCGGGAGCAGAGAGACAAGGAAAUGCUGUCACCGCCGUUAGCACGCACGUGGAGGUUUGUUAAAGGUAGUUGGAGUCUAGUUCCUAGGGAAUGCCAGCCAUAGCUGGGGCACCGGGGAGCAGGUGGCUGUGCAAAGCCAUUUCCAGGCUGUGGACCAAAAGGGCUGAGACAUGGAAAACCUACCAGGGCCCAUUCCAGCUUUGACCUGGCUGGGGCAGCCUUGGGUCAAGUCCUCUCUGUAGUCCAGGUUUCCACCAACAUCAGGAAGGGGAGCUGCAGGAGCCAUCUAGGCAGGCACCCCAGGACUGUGCCAGGAAGACCUGGGUUUAAGCCCUGCCUCCAUCAAUCUCAAGAUAUGGGACCUCAGGGAAGGGAGGGGAGGUUUCUGCCAAGGAUGUGUGUACCUGAGCAGCUAUCACUCCAGUUCCUCAUCUAUAAGGAUCCCUGACAAAGACACACCUGCUCCACGAGAAAGGAGAUCUAAGGUGCUUUAUGCUCAGCCUUCACCACAAAGGUACCAGAGCCCAGGCGUUGUUACCCGAGACUCAAACGGUAUGGAGAUCGGACUAGGUUCAGAGCGAUUCUUCAGUGAGGAACUUAAGAGUACGAUUUACUGAAGCAAGCUGCACAACUGCUGGUGCCUGACAUUCUACCAUUUCAGUUGGUUUCAUUUUCCUACCUAGCUGGCUCUUGAAAUAACCCUCUGGGUUUCAAAUCAACUUUACAUCCGGUCACUGAAACCGACAUUUAGCAACACUGGCUAAUCUGAGAAGACUUCAGUUAGACACUUACCAGGGGCAGAAAUAUUCCACUUCCAAUCACACAGCCCUUCCUGCUGGUCACACUCUCUGAGAAGCUGCUUUGUGAUUCCACUGAGCCCCACAGGAGAAGUAACAAAUACCCCAAAGAGGAAGCUCUAGAAAGAGGACAUUUGGCAGUGUGCAGGCCAGUGCCUGCUGCUGGCUCCCGGGGCCAUUUCCACCCCAUAGCUGAGAUGAAAGAAGCCAUCUAACAGCCGAAGUCAUGGCAUAAGGACAAAAUGGCAUCUCAGAGCCCUUAGUAGCAAAAACAAGUCACCCAAGCUAAACCUCAGCACUGUGACAUGGUGAGGCUUCUGGCCAGGUACAGCACGCCAUUCUGAAGCUGAAAUAAACUGUAGCUAAGGGAACGAGGUGUCCAAAGGAAGCAUUCAAACAGCUGGGCCUGCACACGUGCUCUUCCUGUGACAAAAACAGCUUGACAUCUCAACACUGCUCAGAGCAGCUCAUGGGGACAGACUGAGCAGCACCCCAACUGGACACUCAGCCUUUUCACACUCCUUUGGUCCUGAGCAGAGCUCAUCUCGCCAAAGCACACCAGCCCAGAGCCACCUGAUGAGAAGCAUGGUAACCCACUCAGAAAGAGCACUUCCUAGACACAAAGUGGAAGCCAUGGCUUCCCCCAAGCACUGAGGGCUGACUGAGCUUUACUCAUGGGUUCUCUUUUCCAGCAGCCCGUGAGGCAGCAGAAAAAUCCGUUUUCCAUUUUGGAAUCCUGUCAACUAGAACAAAUCUACCAGUGCCACCUGAGAGCAUCUCUUCCUGGGAAACAGGUGAGCAAGAAGUAACCUCAAGAAAAACUUUGGGAGAAUGUGCCUUGAGAAAAGCCAGAGGAAGUUCCACUGAAUCAAGUUAAUUAAGAAUCAAAACCAAGGAAUGCAGUGAAGACAGGUUUUUCAAUUGCCCAGAGAAGACACAGUUCCUUUUCAACUAAAAUUAGAAAGCCACUGGGAACAUAAGCCAAGAAGCACGGGUAGGAGGCUGAAAACCCUAAG